CCGGCGCACGGGUGAGUAACGCGUAUGCGACCUGCCCGUUGCAGGGGGAUAAUCGGGAGAAAUCCCGUCUAAUACCGCGUAACGCCGCGGGGCUGCAUGGCCCUGCGGCCAAAGGGAGCGAUUCCGGCAACGGAUGGGCAUGCGUGACAUUAGCUAGUUGGCGGGGCAACGGCCCACCAAGGCGACGAUGUCUAGGGGUUCUGGGAGGAAGGUCCCCCACACUGGUACUGAGACACGGACCAGACUCCUACGGGAGGCAGCAG
rnacentral:rRNA from 1 species